GGGGAAGUCGGUGUAAAUCCGACGCUGUCCCGCAACCGUAAGAGAUUAAAAAUCUUAAGUCGGAUUACCC
rnacentral:ncRNA from 2 species